CCUACGGGAGGCAGCAGUGGGGAAUUUUGCGCAAUGGGGGAAACCCUGACGCAGCGACACCGCGUGAGGGAAGAAGGCCUUCGGGUUGUAAACCCCUUUUCUCAGGGAAGAAUAAUGACGGUACCUGAGGAAUAAGUCUCGGCUAACUACGUGCCAGCAGCCGCGGUAAUAAUCACU
rnacentral:rRNA from 1 species